AUCCACGACAAGACAUCACUAUAUAACAAUUACACACACGCUAACUAAAUUCAUCCUUCAGUUGUUCAGCCGAUUUUCUAGGUUUUUCUGUGUGAUUGAUCUCAAUUCUCUUUCUUGUUUUAUCGCGAAUUCGAUUUUAAUGUUCAUCGUCUACGGUUUUUCGAUUGGCUUCAUCAGAUAGUCUAUGUGGAUAUGUCCGUUCCCAUAUGAUUCGUUCCCUUGAAGCAAUAUUAAUCGUGCUGCUCUCGUUAUUCUAAUCUCCUCCCUUAUCAAUUACACAGCUUCAUGCUGUUUGACGCCGAUUCGGGAGAGCUUAACUUGAGCGACUACAUAUCUUGUUUUAAUAAUUUGUUUGUGGGGGGGGAAGAACAGUGAUGAGUCAAUUUACAGACCUGUAAUGAUAGCGUUGAAGCCGGUGAUGAUUAGAUUGAAUGGUUGCUGAAUUCUCAAUGUUGAAAAGCAUCUAAUUUGACUAGGACGGUCUGAGGCUUUUACUGUAUUUACAGUAAGUUUUUUUUGUGUGGAUGUUGAUGUGGAUGAGGAUAAACAAAAUCAAAAUACAGUUAUCCCUGGCUUAGGCUUUUUAAGCCGUUGCUGAGUCUUUGUAAUCUGAUCACAUCACAACAGCUUCCGAUUGUAUUUUUUUUUGCUUAACUUCUUCUGUGGUUUGUUAUUGAAUUUUUACAUGACCCAUAUUUACUUGUUUUUGAGUCGUUCGACCCACUUCUCGUUCUAAUACCAACAUAUAUCAAUUUGAAAAGUGGCAAAAAAUCU